rnacentral:lncRNA from 1 species
AAUAAAUGAGAUGUAGUCUCUUCCAUACCGCACCCUGUGACACACAUACUUGUCUCGCCGUUGAUUAUGCCACGCCUUAGAAGAUGGUUCUUAGUCGGCAACCUAUCUCGCAAUAAUCGCCAAGUAAAAAUGGAAACCUUCAGCGGCACCUGCUUAUGCCAUAUAAGAUCUCCCAAAGGAACGUCUGGAGGUUCCGCCUGAGUUGUAAGAUGAUGAUAGACGCCUCCCACACUAUAACCACCAACAGAAUCAGAGUCCCAUUGUCACCUGUCAGUAAUAUUAUGCUGCAAACGACACCAUUAAU